rnacentral:lncRNA from 1 species
AAAAUCAGUUAAAAAUACGGAUGCAGUGCAACUUCUCAAUUUAUAUCUAUUUAUGUGAAUGUAUCUACCACUUUCAUCUUGCUGAGCAUAUUGUAGUCUAGGAGCUGUUGUCCCUUACAAAUCUCUAAAACUUCAAACCGAGCACGGUCUUGCCAUUCAGGAUGUGAAGCUAGUAACAUUAAACCCCAAAUUGCUGCAACAGCCGGGGAUUGGUACCCACCAAACAUCAUAUUUUUGCAAUUGUCAACUAUGAACUCAUCUUCUGUUAACUUUCCAAGCUCACCAUUCUUGGAUCCUUCAAUGAUAGCUUGUAAUAAGUCCUGAUGAGAUGUAGAUCCACUUCUCUCCUUAGCUAUGUCCAUUAUCAUUCCAUGGAUCUCUUUUGCUAAUCUCCAUGUUUUUCUAUUCCUUUCUAUAGGAAGAAAUCUUAUUCAUAAACGUAACAAUGAGUAUUAGUCGUGCAAGUGAUUUAGAUAAAACUAAACUAAAAAGGUGAAGGAUAUACAUACCUUAGUAAAGGAAUCCCAAGAGUUGUGGUUUCACCCAUAGCCUUGAGGAGUUCAUGACACUUGGAAAAUACUUUAAUUCCUUUAUGAUGAUCACUUCCAAAUAUUAUUUUUGAGGCAAUAUAAGUAGUGAAAAUUCUCGCAUGCUCAUCCACCACUAUAUCAACCAUCCCACCCUCACCUUCUCUAUCUAUUAUCUUCUCCCAUGCUUUAACUACCAUACUACCAGAUUCGACCAUCAGAUUCACCAUAUCCUGUAUAUAAUAAAUAUUAUUUUUUAUUAAAGCAAAUAAUUUUAAUUAGCCUUACAAAUUAAAUCCAUAAAUUUAAUUACCUUAACCUUGUGCAUGUAGAGUUGAGGGGCAAUGGUCUUUCUUUGAUGAUGCCAAACAUCACCGUUUGCAGUAUUAAGGCCCUUGCCUAAUAGAACUCCUCUGUCAUUUUGUAAAUAAGCAGGUUUUCCAAGUUCAAAUGAUGUGAACAGAUUUAUUUCUCUCACUAUGCUCAGAUUAUUCACGUACAACAAUUGUAUUCCACCAAGUGCAAACUUGAAUAACUUACCUGUCGUAUAUGAUGAACAUAACUAGGAGUUAACGAAUGAGAAUUGAUUUAGAGUCUGUCUGAAAUCUUAAAAAUGUUAAUAAAAACAAAAUAUAUAUGAAAAAGGGGAAAUUUAUAUGUAUGAAAUACCAUAGUUUUUGGCCCAAUGCUUGAGAUAGGGUAAGACAAUUAAGGGACCAUCGAUCUGUGGAGUUUCAGAAUUUUGAGAAACCAUUCUCUCCAUUUCUGGUAUGUUUCCCAACAGCAGAGAAGGUGGAGGACCUUUGAUUCCUUGCUCUCUAAUAAGCUUAUUAGUUUUAUAGCUCUCAUGCUUCCACCACGCAACAUAACAUAAACAAAUGACGAGAAAACUCCAUAAAAGAAACAUCAUAGACUGAAGCGUUGAUAGAAAUUUACACCCCAUUUGUAUUGCUGGAUUCAUGGACGUGGCUCUUUAAAUAGACAUUCACAUGCAUGACAUUAUCUCCAAGUGAUAAAUACCUCACCUAUCAUAUCAUCUGCAUGUGAUAAAUGUUUACUAUAAAUAAAUAAAGAAAAAAAAAUUAGCUUAUUUAUAUAUAACAAAAUUAUGAAACAAUUUGUUUUUCUUUAAUUAUUAAAAAUUUAAAUCUUUUUUAUUUCUGUUUAUUUUUAUUUUUACUUUUAAUCUAAGCUGUACUGAAAAUAAAAUAUUUUUAGUUGCAAUUAGCCAUCCACGAUCAGUUAUGAGCCAUAAGUGACAGCUAUUAAUUAUUAACUAUAUUUAUAUAAAAUAGUUGUUUUGGAUUUGGUUGUAAAUCUAUGAUCUCCUUUAGUUUUGAGGGCAUUUGUUUAGUGCAUGUGUAAUUUAUUUGCUUUGACUGUAGGGUGGUUUAUUUUCUAAUUUGCUUUGUUGCAUGGUGACGCGUGUUUUUUCUUUUUUUUUUUUAUAAGCAAAAAUUUUUAUUGAAAUAAGAAUCAGGAAAAAAUUUAAUAUGAUCAUUGAAAACUAUCUUCUCAAACCCUUACUCAGCUUAGAUCAAUAGUAUACUAAGUGAAAAAAACUUAAGGAAUACAGAAAGAAAAAAAAAUAAAGAAAAAAGCACUCAAAUUAGAAAGUGCCUACAAAGUCUUCAACCCAAUCAAGUUUCUUAGCAAGACGAUCAGCUACAACGUUAGGAGAUUAACCCAAGAAUUUGCAUUGAGUGCAAAGAGUGACAACAGAUCAAGAAUCUUAAAAAUGGCUUUUAAUUCAGCAACAUUGGACUCUUCAACCCCUACCGGAAAUGAGAAGAUGCAAAGUAUAAUAUCCGGCUAAACUAUGCUAUCAUAACUCUAACUUUUCGACGGAAUCUCCGUUAGAAUAUAAAAUCUCAAAAUCGAAAACUUUGAAAGGGUAAAAUUGAUUUUUAUAAAAUGAAUUUAAAAGAUUUUAAAAUGUGAAAAAAAAUUUUUCAAAUCAUUAAGGUUCGGCCGCCGAACCUCUCAAAUUUAGCCGCCGAAUACAAGCUGGCAGACCCAACUAUAAAAGACCUCCAACUCGAUUUUGAGAAGAGUUUUUCUCUCUUCGUUUGGGCAAAGGUGAGCCUAAAACCUCUUGAUGAUUUUUGCUUUGACCUUUCUUUAAAUCCUCUAUAAAUUCAUGAGUUUUACAUUUAUUUUGAAGAAUCAAAUUUGAUUUUCAUGUUUUAGCUUUUGGGAUCCUCAGAGCUCAUCUCUUCUUCUCCUCUGAAUUUCUCCUUGUUGUUGUAGUUGUGUUUCUUUCAAGAGGUAAGUUUGUUUUUCUCUAAACUCAUUGUUCUUAGGCUAGAUAUGAGUUGUGUAUAGUUUGAGUUGUUGGAAUGAGAAUGCAUGUAAUGAUUUAUGUCUUUUUCCCUUUUUGUUUUGAAUCUUGAAUGUUGAUGUGCUAAAUUACUUGCAUGUGGGUUUUUUUGAAAUCUUCUAGCUGUUUAGAGGCUUCUAGAUUGUUGUGGAAUAUUUUUAAGCUUUUGCUUGUAAGUUUGAAAGCCUUUUGAGGGCUGUUGGUGGAGGUUGAAUCGGAUUCUACAUUGCAGAAGAAUCUAGAUUUGGCCGCCGAACAUACUUGUGAAGGCUGCCUUUUGACCAUCUAACCUGCCUCCGAAGAUUUGAUCUUCGAAUCUAUAAGGGAACUUUAGGCCAUUAAACCUGCCACUAAAAGUCCCCUAUCCAGUCUCGUUUUCUACAUGUUUUCUUAUAUGCUUUUAGGGUUUCUUGGGGUAGUGUCAAAUAUUGUGAAAGUUAUAUUUGGUCCCUCAUUUAAGUCCAUUGGUAUAGGAUUAGACUUGGGAGACCGUAAAGGCUUAUAGUGAGAUAACUGAUUCAGAGCUAGGCUUGCAUCAGUCAGAGGUGAGUAAAACUAAACCAAACUAUUAUUUUAAAGAAAUCAAAUAUUUUAAACAUGCUCAUGCAUUGCGAAUGCCAUGUAUAUAUGAUUAGGUUGUUUUGCAUUAGAAUUUACAAAUAUGAUGCAUUGCAUAAUUUGUUGUUAUUGUGGAUGGAUGUUAGAUGACCCACUAGCUCUCAAACAUAUUAUGAUAUUGUUAUGACGGAUACGGAAGUCCAGGUCAAAACUCAUUCUAUGCCUCUGACAUUAUGUAAGAGAAAGUCUAUGUUGAGACUCAUUCUAUGCCGCUGGCACUAUAGAUAUGUUAUGUUACAUUGUGUUUAAAAGGAAGUCCUAAACAUCUGUUGUGGGUCAGGUACUAUUAGAAUUUAUAGAGGGUUACUGGUGACAAGUCUAUCUUGAUGUGAAUUGUUUAUGUUAUCAAUUUAUAUGAUCAUAAGUUUUAUUAAACUGCUUUUGUUUAUGUUUCUGCUCACUAGACUCUUGUAACUUAUCUCUUUCCCUUAACCUCAAGUUUGCAGGACCAGCAUUAACUCGAGAGGUCAGCAAUGUUGUAUGGGAUAGUUAUAAUGGAAUAGUAUAGUUGUGGACAUGUAAUUCAUAUUGUAGAUUAGAAUUGUGAUUUGUCCAAAUUUUCUUUUAUAAUCCCUUCAUUCAUAGUCUUAUUAUACAAAAAUUUUAAAGUUUAAGUUUUGUUUAGACCAAACCGAGGCAAUGACCAUACUAGAGCAUUUGAUGAGGGCUCUAGUAUGGAUUUUAUAUUUUUAGUUAUGUUGCAUGCACAUGUAGGGGUGAGCAUUCAGUCGGUUCGAUUUAAAAUCGAACCGAACGGAAUAAAUCGAAAAUCAAAAUUUUAGUAUUUAUAAAAAUCAAACCGAACUGAUUUUGAUCAGAAAUUAAAUCAAACUGAAUCGAUCUGAUUCAGUUCAAUUCGGUUCGGUUUGAUCAGAUUCAAUUUUUAAUAAAUUUUUUAUUUUUUACGCUUUAUUUUUAGUAUUUUAAAAUUUAAUUAAAAUAUUUUAAUCUUAAUAUGAUCUAAUUUCUCUAUAUUAUUGAACAUAACAUAUUAUUAUCACUAAUCGGUUCGGUUCAGUUUUUUUAAUUUUUUUAUGAUCAAAAUCGAACCGAACCGAAAUAACUAAAAUUUUUAAAAUGAAAAACCGAAAUGAAUAAGAAACUGAAUCAAAUUUUCAAAUUAAUUCGGUUCGAUCAGUUUUUUCUGUUUGAACCAAAUAAUGCUCACCCCUAUGCACAUGUCGUGUUUCAGCUCAUGAGAUGGAAAUAUUUUCCUAUACUUUUAAGAUCAUGUUUGAGAUUAUAUCAAAUAUAUCAGGAUAUAUAGUAGACUUAUUACGGGCUCCGAUGACCUAUAUCUGAAUCCUAGCAUCAGUAGCGGUCUGGUUUCGAAUCAUUAUACAAAGGAAAAAUACCAUUUGAGUCACGAAGCCCAACCCCAGUUGCACGUCGACUAAGCUUACUCAAUAAGGACCCAUCAACAUUCUAUUUAAGACAAUUAGAAGGAAGAGGGGACCAUACAAAAGGUCUGGAUUUAAUCGAGUUGCUUCGCAUCUUUAUUGAAUUAGCAUUUGCUAGCAAGUUUGGACUAGAAAGGGAAUUCUUUAUUUAAAGCCUUUAACCGAGUUACUACUCUAAAAAAGAUGACAUAGCAAAUGUAGAUGGUAUCAUUGUUAUACCCUUUAAAAAUCUUAUCAUUUUUUGUGGUUCAAAUUUUUUAAAUAAUGGCGUAGAAGAGAGCUAAACAAAACUACUUCUAAAAAGACUCAUAAAAUAAAGAUUUCUAUUCUUGAAAGAACUUAGUGCUCAAGGCUAGAAUAUAUUAAGCAACACUCCACCAUUUGAAGAACCAAGUUCGGUUUAAUUUUUAUAAAUACUAAAUUUCAGUUUUCAGUUUAUUCGAUUCGGUUCAAAACCAAACUAAACCGACCGAAUGCUCAGCCUAGUUAACGCAGCUAUUUUGCCAUAUUUCAUCUAUAGCAAAAGAGUAGAUUAUCAAAUAUAUAUAAUAUGGGAUAACUUGAAAAAUAAAAUAAUUCAAAUUUGUACACUCUAUUACCAAAUGUCUUAAUCUGAUGAAAAGGACCAAUCACAUUAAAAAUAAUUUUUUUACAUGUGGUACCCUCUGGUCACUGGUGUUGCAUGUCAUAAUUAAGAAUUACCAAUCAACAUUGAGAAGAAAACAAAGAAUUACCAAUCAACAUAACAUAAACAAAUUCAAGCUUGUUUCCUAAUAUAGCCUUUUUAUUAUUCAUCUCCUUUCCCUUUUUAAUUAAAGUGAUUUUUAUUUAAACUAUUUAUUUUUAUAUUUUAAAGGAUUAAAAAUAAUUUUUUAUUUGAUUAAAUAAAGUUCACAAAAAGAACUAAAGAGUGAUAAACCUUUAAUAUUAUAUUAAAAUAAUAAAUUAUUUAAUAAAAUAAGUGACAUUUUAGAAUAAGUUUCCUAUUAUUAAUUUUUUAAAAUAAUAUUUACUAAUAUCAUCAUAAUUUAACUUCAAUAAUAGCUUAAAUAUUUUAAAUUUAUUAAAAUUAGUUGCAGUAGUGUUAAAAUCAAAUAUAGUAUCAUGCAUGUUCGAGAUAAAUAUUUACAUAUUAUAUAUUUUAUUUUAUAAUAAUGUAAAAUAAUAAUCGCUUAAAUUAAGUUAUGAACUAUCACCGUAAGAUAAGACCGCACGACAAUAGUCUGAUAAAUUGAUACACAAUUUUAUCUAUAAAAAGAAAGAUCCGGACACUAUGACACUUUAUUUUUCAUCAAAACUCGCUCUCUUUUGAAUAAGUCGAAAAUCCACAUAAAGUUACCGUGUAUAAUCCAGCAAAUUUCUGUUAUGCCUGUAAUAAAGGAAUCCCGAUUGAUUAGCCGAUAGGAUCCCCUAUUAAUUAGUCAGUACUAGUUGAAUUCUCAUAAAAUGCUAUAAUUAACUUCAUUUUUUUAUAGCGUAAAAGUUAAUGAUAAUAAAAACUAAGGUACACAUUUUUAUACAACUACUCUUGAAUUUUAAGCAAUUCUUUACAUUUGCCCUUUUCAUCAACUCACUGAUUUGAGCAUCGGAAUAGCUACUAUAGGGUCAUCCACCUCAUGUUCUUUUUCUUGCGAAGUAACCAAUCGCGACACAGUUCCAUUUUGACAACAUCAUUUAGUUUCAUUGUCCAGAAAAUCUAUUGAAUUCUAUCUGUUCAUUUGGAUUAAAAUUGGAUCCUUUAUCCCCUUUCUCUUAAAAAAGAAAUCUUUUUUUCUCUCUCUCAAAAUGGGUAGCAGUUCACGAGUUGCUGCUAAGGUUGCUAUUAAUGAGGGUGCUACCAUUUUCUUUCGCUCCUAGCAGCGGACAAAACACACCCACUAUGGUCAACGAAGUAGAUCUCAAUAAUCUGAAUAAUAAGCAAAUGUUUCAAUAUAUUAAAAGGUUGCAUGCUACUCUUGAGUAUUAUAAAACUUGGGGGAGGCAUCAUUUAUGGAUCCCAGAGUAAGGGAGGACGCUUCAAUUGAUCCUUUAAGGGGUCGGAUUGAUGCAAUCCAAGCGCAAUCCAAAUGAAAGGCCAAACAGGAGGAUGAAGAGUUAUCGGAUGAGGCUCCAAAGAAAGUUGAUUGGAAGCUGGUUCGAGCCAUGUAAAGGUACCAAAAGGAGUAAGAUGAGAACUAUGGUCUGGACGAUGCCUCACUCCUAUCAGAAUAGAUCUUAGCAGAAAUUUUCUCAACCAAGUUCAAACUGCCAAGUUUGAAUAAAUAAGAUGUAACAGCAGAUUUUAAAAGUCAGCUGACUAUUUUUAGAACAACCAUAUAGUUUCAAGAUGUCAAUGACUUCAUAUUAUAUUAAAUGUUUCUGUCAACACGAUUUUUGUGUUACACAGAGUAAUAAAUUUACAAUAUUUAUUAACAUAAAAUAAAAAUCAAAUGAUCAUGUAACGAAUUAAAUUUAUUAUAAAAUAAAAUUAAAGAAAAAAUUUAUUAAAAAUAUUUUUAUAUAUCAAAUAAUUAAUUUUAUUUUAUUUUAUAUUUUUCACUUUAACUAAUUUUCUGAAUUAAUUAUUAAUUUAAUUAAUGAAUUAAGUUGUAAUUUUAUUUUUAACUUUAAUAUUUUAUAAAUACCUAUUCAUAUUUUAUAACUUAAUGGAUUAAUUUUUGUUUUAUUUUCUUUUUCUCUCUCAUUAAUUUUUUUUUUAUUUCACGUAUUAUAAUAUUAUUGAAUUGAUUGAAUUAUUGCACAUAACCGUUGCAUUGUAAAAUCACUUCCUCGUAAGAUAGGAUUACCCAUAAAGCAGUUUUUCUUUACAAGAAAUUAUUUUUAAUACUAAAGUACAUGAACAUAUUGCAUGAGAACUUAUUACAUGAAGCUCAACUUUCAAGCAAAGCACUCAUAUCUUUUGAAUAAGGAGAUUCACACCAUGCUCAGGCUCCAAAAGCAGACCAUAAGUAGGUGAGUGUCGAUAUUUAGGAGAGAUAGUAAGUUUGAAAUUGGAGAGUAUGACAGCAAAGAACACUUUCAAUUCUAUUAAAGCCAAGUUCCGUCCAGGACACACUCGAGCUCCCAAUCCAAAAGGUAUAUAGGCUUGUGAAGACUUGCAAGCUCCAGCAACUCCAUUAGUGAACCUCUCAGGAUUAAACACGUCUGCAUCAGCUCCCCAAUAUUCAGGAUUACGAUGCAAUGCUGGUAGCCAUAUCCAAAUGUCCAUUCCUUUUGGAACCUUCAACUCACCAAGCUUCACAUUUUGCAUUGCCUCUCUUGAAACCAAUGUCACUCCUGGAUAAAGCCUCAGAACCUCUUGGAUCACCAUUUUUAACUGCAUGAAAAACACAAAAAUCAGUUAAAAAUAUGGAUGCAGUGCAACUUCUCAAUUUAUAUCUACUUAUGUGAAUGUAUCUACCACUUUCAUCUUGCUGAGCAUAUUGUAGUCUAGGAGCUGUUGUCCCUUUCAAAUCCAAACCGAGCACGGUCUUGCCAUUCAGGAUGUGAAGCUAGUAACAUUAAACCCCAAAUUGCUGCAACAGCAGGGGAUUGGUACCCACCAAAAAUCAUAUUUUUGCAAUUGUCAACUAUGAACUCAUCUUCUGUUAACUCUCCAAGCUCACCAUUCUUGGAACCUUCAAUGAUAGCUUGUAAUAAGUCCUGAUGAGAUGUAGAUCCACUUCUCUCCUUAGCUAUGUCCAUUAUCAUU